UGGGGAAUCUUGCGCAAUGGGCGAAAGCCUGACGCAGCGACGCCGCGUGAGUGAUGAAGGCCUUCGGGUUGUAAAGCUCUGUGGGGAGAGAAGAAUAAGUGCGGGCUAAUACCCCGCAUGAUGACGGUAUCUCCUUAGCAAGCACCGGCUAACUCUGUGCCAGCAGCCGCGGUAAGACAGAGGGUGCAAACGUUGUUCGGAAUUACUGGGCGUAAAGCGAGUGUAGGCGGUUUGGUAAGUCGGAUGUGAAGGCCCCGGGCUCAACCCGGGAAGUGCAUUCGACACUGCCAAGCUAGAGUAUCGGAGAGGUUGGUGGAAUUCUCGGUGUAGAGGUGAAAUUCGUAGAUAUCGAGAGGAACACCGGUGCGAAGGCGGCCAACUGGACGAAUACUGACGCUGAGACUCGAAAGCGUGGGGAGCAAACAGGAUUAGAUACCCCCGUAGUCCCUGAGCGGGCUGGCAAGGCGCAU
rnacentral:rRNA from 1 species